AACUUACCAGGUCAAGACAUGGGCGUGAUUGACAGGCUAAUGACUUUUCUCGAUUCCAUGGAUGGUGGUGCAUGGUCGCACUUAGUUGGUGCAGUGAUUUGUCAGGUUUAUUCCGGUAACGAACGAGACCUCGGCCUUGUAAAUAGCUAUGCUGCUUACAGGGACAUUGGCGGCUACGCCAAGGAAGCUCGAGGCAAUUGCAGAUCUGGAAUGCCCUUAGAUGUCCUGGGUCGCACGCGUGCUACAAUGACGCCACGAACGAGCUUGCGUGAUGAAAGUUACGCAUAAUCAGCAGUCGGCGUCUUAAGGGAUAGUCUCUUGUAACUGUGGGACUCCAACUAGGAAUGUCUCGUAAGCACAAGUCAACAUCUUGUGUUGAUUACGUCCCUGCUCUUUGUACACACCGCCCGUCGCUCCUACCGAUCGAGUGUUUAGGUGAAUUUGAUGGACGUAAGGAAGUCAAAUAAACCUGAGCACUAGAGAAGAGAAGUCUAUCAUGU
rnacentral:rRNA from 1 species